GGACCCGCACAAGCGGUGGAUGAUGUGGAUUAAUUCGAUGCAACGCGAAAAACCUUACCUACCCUUGACAUGUCAGGAAUUUUGCAGAGAUGCGAAAGUGCUCGAAAGAGAACCUGAACACAGGUGCUGCAUGGCUGUCGUCAGCUCGUGUCGUGAGAUGUUGGGUUAAGUCCCGCAACGAGCGCAACCCUUGUCAUUAGUUGCUACGCAAGGGCACUCUAAUGAGACUGCCGGUGACAAACCGGAGGAAGGUGGGGACGACGUCAAGUCCUCAUGGCCCUUAUGGGUAGGGCUUCACACGUCAUACAAUGGUUGGUACAGAGGGUUGCGAACCCGCGAGGGGAAGCUAAUCCCAAAAACCAGUCGUAGUCCGGAUUGCAGUCUGCAACUCGACUGCAUGAAGUCGGAAUCGCUAGUAAUCGCGGAUC
rnacentral:rRNA from 1 species